GAGAGUGGGAUUGAGAAAGCGAGAGAGGGAAGUUUGAGGGGCCAGGCAGAAUAACUGUGGCUGGUGGGGGCAUCAUCUUGUGGGCUUCUGUGUGACCGGCUCCCUGCGGGGGCCGAUAGCUCUGGAGCUGCACCCAGUGUCAGAAAAGAAGAGAGGAGAUAGAGGAGAGGAGUUAGAGUAGAGGAGUUAGAGUAGAGGAGUUAGAGUAGAGGAGUUAGAGGAGAGGAGAUAGAGGAGAGGAGUUAGAGGAGAUAGAGGAGAGGAGUUAGAGGAGAGGAGUUAGAUGAGUUAGAGGAGAGGAGUUAGAGGAGAUGGAGGUGUUAGAGGAGAGGAGUUAGAGGAGAAGAGUUAGAGGAGUUAGAGGAGAGGAGUUAGAGGAGAAGAGUUAGAGGAGUUAGAGGAGAGGAGAUAGAGGAGAGGAGUUAGAGAGUUAGAGGAGAGGAGUUAGCGGAGAGGAGUUAGAGGAGAAGUGUUAGAGGAAUUAGAGGAGAGGAGUUAGAGGAGAGGAGUUAGAGAAGUUAGAGGAGAGGCGUUAGAGGAGAGGAGUUAGAGGAGAGGAGUUAGAGGAGAGGAGUUAGAUGAGUUAGAGGAGUUAGAGGAGAGGAGUUAGAGGAGAGGAGUUAGGUGAGUUAGAGGAGAGGAGUUAGAGGAGAGGAGUUAGGUGAGUUAGAGGAGUUAAAUUAGUUAGAGGAGUUAGAGGAGAGGAGUUAGAGGAGUUAGAGGAGAGGAGUUAGAUGAGUUAGAGGAGAGGAGUUAGAGGAGAGGUGUUAGAGGAGUUAGAGGAGAGGAGUUAGAUGAGUUAGAGGAGAGGAGUUAGAGGAGAGGAGUUAGAGGAGAGGAGUUAGAUGAGUUAGAGGAGUUAGAGGAGAGGAGAUAGAGGAGAGGAGUUAGAGAGUUAGAGGAGAGGAGUUAGAGUAGAGGAGUUAGAGAAGUUAGAGGAGAGAAGUUAGAGGAGAUGUGUUAGAGGAGUUAGAGGAGAGGAGUUAGAUGAGUUAGAGGAGAGGAGUUAGAGGAGAGGAGUUAGAGGAGUAAGAGGUGUUAGAUGAGUUAGAGGAGAGGAGUUAGAGGAGAGGAGUUAGAGGAGAGGAGUUAGAUGAGUUAGAGGUGUUAGUUGAGUUAGAGGAGAGGAGUUAGAGGAGAGGAGUUAGAGGAGAGAAGUUAGACGAGUUAGAGGAGUUAAAUGAGUUAGAGGUGUUAGAGGAGAGGAGUUAGACGAGUUAGAGGAGUUAAAUGAGUUAGAUGAGUUAGAGGAGAGGAGUUAGAGGAGUUAGAUGAAUUAGAGGAGUUAGAGGAGAGGAGUUAGAGGAGAGGAGUUAGAUGAGUUAGAGGAGAGGAGUUAGAGGAGAAGAGUUAGAUGAGUUAGAGGAGAGGAGUUAGAUGAGUUAGAGGUGUUAGAGGAGAGGAGUUAGAGAGUUAGAGGAGAGGAGUUAGAGAGUUAGAGGAGAGGAGUUAGAGGAGAGGAGUUAGAGGAGAGGAGUUAGAGGAGUUAGAGGAGAGGAGUUAGAGGAGUUAUAGGAGAGGAGUUAGAGGAGAGGAGUUAGAGGAGAGGAGUUAGAGGAGUUAGAGGAGAGGAGUUAGAGGAGAAGAGUUAGAGGAGAGGAGUUAGAGGAGAAGAGUUAGAGGAGUUAGAGGAGAGGAGUUAGAGGAGAGGAGUUAGAGGAGUUAGAGGAGAUGAGUUAGAGGAGAGGAGUUAGAGGAGUUAGAGGAGAGGAGUUAGCGGAGAGGAGAGGCACCACCGUGUGAGAAGUAGUGUGCCUCCUUCGUGGUGGCUGAUGACGGAGCAGCACAGAUGGGCUUGGGGUUGGGGCUCGUUCCCCAGCAUGCUCCUUUGUAUGGAGCCCUGCUCACUAAUUACAGCUGAUGACUGUGUGUGAGGGGGAGCGAGAGGGGCGGAGAGGGGAG
rnacentral:lncRNA from 1 species